ACAUGGAAUGAAUUUUGCAAGGAAAUUAACGCAAAAUGCAAAGUAGAAACAAAAAAUAUCACAUGUGACUGUGUACAUAAAGAUUAUUAUUUUGACAGCAAUCAAAGAAGAUGUCAAAUUGAAGAUCAAUGCAAAUACGAAGUUUGUGGUGAUGGUGCUAAGUGUAUACAUAUCAAAGAUACUUACGCAAGCGAAUGCAAUUGCAGCGAGGAACAAUAUUAUGAUUAUUCAGAGAAUAAGUGUUUAAGUAUUGAUAAAUGUUUAGGUAAAGUAUGUGAUGUAUUUAAAGAAUGUAAAAAAGGUGAAUGCAAGUGUAUAAAGGAAUUAGAAGACAAUG